rnacentral:tRNA from 1 species
GCCCCGUUAGCUCAAUUGGACAGAGCAUCGGACUUCGGAUCCGAGGGGUGGGGGUUCGACUCCCUCACGGGGUA